ensembl:lncRNA
AUGGGAUGUGGCUAUGGAGGAUCCUCUGGUAUCCCUCCUGGGAAACCUGCAUGCUCGAUCACCUCCCUGAAAUGCCUGUACACCAAUGCACGCAGCUUGGGGAACAAACAGGAAGAACUAGAGAUGUGUGUGCGGUCGCAGGGCCAUGAUUUCAUUGCCAUUACAGAGACAUGGUGGGAUAGCUCGCAUGACUGGAGUGCUGUCAUGGAUGGCUACGUGCUUUUUAGGAAAGACAGGCCAGGAAAGCGAGGUGGUGGAGUUGCUCUUUAUGUGAGAGAGCACCUGGAAUGUAUUGAGCUGUGCCUAGGGGUGGAUGAAGAGCGAGUCGAGAGCUUAUGGGUAAGGAUCAAAGGGCAGGCUAGCAUGGGUGACACUGUUGUGGGUGUUUACUACAGGCCACCUGAUCAGGAGGAGGAAGUCAAUGAGGCCUUCUACAGACAGCUGGAAGUAGCCUCACGAUUCCAGGCCCUGGUUCUCAUGGGGGACUUCAACCACCCCGAUAUCUGCUGGAAAGACAACACAGCUAGGCGCAAACAGUCCUKGAGGUUCCUGCAGAGCAUUGGUGACAACUUCUUGACACAGGUGGUGGAGGAGCCAACAAGGAGAGGUGUGCUGCUGGACCUGGUACUAACAAACAAAGAAGGACUGGUGGAAGAUGUGAAGGUUGGGGGCAGCCUUGGCUGCAGUGACCAUGAGAUGGUGGAGUUCAGGAUCCUGCAAGGAGGCAGCAGGGCACUGAGUAGGAUCGCAACCCUGGAGUUCAGGAGAGCAAACUUUGGCCUCUUCAGGGACCUACUUGGAGGAAUCCCAUGGGUGAGGGCCCUAGAAGGAAGGGGUGUUCAAGAGAGCUGGUUAAUAUUCAAACAUCACUUCCUCCAGGCUCAAGAGCGGUGCAUCCCUAUGAGUAGGAAGUCAAGCAAAGGAGGCAGGAGACCUGCAUGGAUGAGCAAGGAGCUCCUGGCAAAACUCAACCAGAAGAAGGAAGUCUACAGAAAGUGGAAAGGGGGACAGGCCACUUGGGAGGAAUAUAGGAACGUUGUCAGAGUAUGCAGGGAUGCGACGAGGAAGGCUAAGGCCCGCCUGGAAUUAAAUCUGGCUAGAGAUGUCAAGGACAGCAAGAAGGGCUUCUUCAAAUACAUCAGUAGCAAAAGGAAGACUAGGGAAAAUGUGGGCCCUUUGCUGAAUGGGGUGGGUGCCCUGGUGACGAAGGAUGCAGAGGAGGCAGAGUUACUGAAUGCUGCCUUUGCUUCAGUCUUUCCUGCUCAGGCCAGCCCUCAGGAACCCCAGACCCUGGAGGCAAGAGAGAAAGUCUGGAGGAAGGAAGACUUUCCCUUGGUGGAGGAGGAUCAGGUUACAGAUCAUUUAAGCAAACUUGACACCCACAAAUCCAUGGGCCCCGAUGGGAUGCACCCACGAGUGCUGAGGGAGCUGGUGAAUGUUAUUGCUAGGCCACUCUCCAUCAUCUUUGCAAGGUCCUGGAGAACAGGAGAGGUGCCUGAGGACUCAAAGAAGGCUAAUGUCACCCCAGUCUUCGAAAAGGGCAAGAAGGAGGACCCAGGGAACUACAGGCCAGUCAGCUUCACCUCCAUCCCUGGAAAGGUGAUGGAGCAGCUCAUCCUGGAGGCCAUCUCCAAGCAUGUGGAGGACAAGAAAGUGAUCAGGAGUAGUCAGCAUGGCUUCACCAAGGGGAAAUCAUGCUUAACCAAUCUGAUAGCCUUCUCUGAUGGAAUGACUGGCUGGGUAGAUGAGGGGAGAGCAGUGGAUGUUGUCUACCUUGACUUCAGCAAGACUUUCGACACUGUCUCCCAGAACAUCCUCAUAGACAAGCUCAGGAAGUGUGGGCUAGAUGAGUGGACAGUGAGGUGGAUUGAGACCUGGCUGAAUGGCAGAGCUCAGAGUUGUGAUCAGUGGUGCAGAGUCUAG